UGGGGAAUCUUGCGCAAUGGGCGAAAGCCUGACGCAGCCAUGCCGCGUGAAUGAUGAAGGUCUUAGGAUUGUAAAAUUCUUUCACCGGGGACGAUAAUGACGGUACCCGUAGAAGAAGCCCCGGCUAACUUCGUUCCAGCAGCCGCGGUAAUACGAAGGGGGCUAGCGUUGCUCGGACUUACUGUGCGUAAAGUGAGCGUAGUCGGACAUUUAAGUCAGGGGUGAAAUCCCCGGGCUCAACCUCGGAAUUGCCUUUGAUCCUGGGUGUCUUGAGUGUGAGAGAGGGAUGGGGAACGACGAGUGUAGAGGGGAAAGUAGUAGAUAGUCGGAGGAACACAAGUGGCGAAGGAGACAUAAUGGCUCAUUACUGACGCUGAGGCUCGAAAGCGUGGGGAGCAAACA
rnacentral:rRNA from 1 species